rnacentral:rRNA from 1 species
GUCCACGCCCUAAACGAUGGCAACUAGUUGUUGGGGAUUAACAUCCUUAGUAACGCAGCUAACGCGUGAAGUUGCCCGCCUGGGGAGUACGGUCGCAAGAUUAAAACUCAAAGGAAUUGACGGGGCCCGCACAAGCGGUGGAUGAUGUGGUUUAAUUCGAUGCAACGCGAAAACCUUACCUACCCUUGACAUGCCAGGAAGGCCGCAGAGAUGUGGUUGUGCCCCGAAAGGGAACCUGGACACAGGUGCUGCAUGGCUGUCGU